rnacentral:rRNA from 1 species
UACGGAGGGUGCAAGCGUUAUCCGGAUUCACUGGGUUUAAAGGGUGCGUAGGUGGGCAGGUAAGUCAGUGGUGAAAUCUCCGAGCUUAACUCGGAAACUGCCGUUGAUACUAUUUGUCUUGAAUAUUGUGGAGGUAAGCGGAAUAUGUCAUGUAGCGGUGAAAUGCUUAGAUAUGACAUAGAACACCUAUUGCGAAGGCAGCUUACUACGCCUAUAUUGACGCUGAGGCACGAAAGCGUGGGGAUCAAACAGG